rnacentral:rRNA from 1 species
GAUGAACGCUAGCGACAGGCUUAACACAUGCAAGUCGAGGGGUAGAAGGCUUCGGCCUUUGAGACCGGCGCACGGGUGCGAAACGCGUAUACAAUCUACCUAUUACAGGGGGAUAGCCCAGAGAAAUUUGGAUUAAUACCCCAUAGUAUUAUAGAGUGGCAUCAUUUUUAUAAUUAAAGUUGAGGCGGUAAUAGAUGAGUAUGCGUCCUAUUAGCUAGUUGGUGAGGUAACGGCUCACCAAGGCUACGAUAGGUAGGGGUCCUGAGAGGGAGAUCCCCCACACUGGUACUGAGACACGGACCAGACACCUACGGGUGGCAG